GCCGGGGUGGCGGAAUUGGUAGACGCGCCAUCUUGAGGGGGUGGUGGGCGUAAGCCCGUGCUGGUUCGAGUCCAGUCCCCGGCACCA
rnacentral:tRNA from 1 species